rnacentral:rRNA from 1 species
AUUGAACGCUGGCGGCAGGCCUAACACAUGCAAGUCGAGCGGAUGAAGGGAGCUUGCUCCUGGAUUCAGCGGCGGACGGGUGAGUAAUGCCUAGGAAUCUGCCUGGUAGUGGGGGAUAACGUCCGGAAACGGGCGCUAAUACCGCAUACGUCCUGAGGGAGAAAGUGGGGGAUCUUCGGACCUCACGCUAUCAGAUGAGCCUAGGUCGGAUUAGCUAGUUGGUGGGGUAAAGGCCUACCAAGGCGACGAUCCGUAACUGGUCUGAGAGGAUGAUCAGUCACACUGGAACUGAGACACGGUCCAGACUCCUACGGGUGGCGGCAGUGGGGAAUAUUGGACAAUGGGCGAAAGCCUGAUCCAGCCAUGCCGCGUGUGUGAAGAAGGUCUUCGGAUUGUAAAGCACUUUAAGUUGGGAGGAAGGGCAGUAAGUUAAUACCUUGCUGUUUUGACGUUACCAACAGAAUAAGCACCGGCUAACUUCGUG